UACGGGGGGGGCAAGCGUUGUUCGGAAUUACUGGGCGUAAAGGGCUCGUAGGCGGCCAACUAAGUCAGACGUGAAAUCCCUCGGCUUAACCGGGGAACUGCGUCUGAUACUGGAUGGCUUGAGAUUGGGAGAGGGAUGCGGAAUUCCAGGUGUAGCGGUGAAAUGCGUAGAUAUCUGGAGGAACACCGGUGGCGAAGGCGGCAUCCUGGACCGACACUGACGCUGAGGCGCGAAAGCUAGGGUAGCAAACGGG
rnacentral:rRNA from 1 species